GAGAGGGGAACUUGGGGCUUCUGCCCUGCAGCAGGGUAGUGAGUGCAGGGGCUUUUGCCAGAGACAACUGGUGCCUGCUGUGUGUGGGGGAGAGUACAAUUUAAAGUAUCCAUCAUAUUCAAGGCAAUGAUUGUCGCACAAGAUGUAUCCUGGGACCUAGUGGGACAGGAGGUGUCCAUUAGCAAAGCCGAAGAUUGGAUACCUCUUCUAUCCCUGUUGUGAUCUGCGUGACGUGAGGAAAUGAAGAGGGAGGCAUUCUCCUACGAGUGGCCAAGCUGACAGGCAAACACUGGCAGUCCUUCCAAUCCCAUCUCUGAAUGACAAGGAGAGAGAAGAAAGAACCCAUACACCAGGUCAUGCUGUUCUCUGCAAUGUCAGCAGCUAGUAAACCCAGACGUGAUCAUACAGCACCAGAUCUUGUUUGCAUCACCAAGACCUACUUAAAUGAUUUGACAAAAAUUUGGAGGAGCUAAUAUGCCCAUAAGUAAACUUGACCGUGUAAGGUAUAGGAGUUUUAUAAAAAUUAUUUUUAUGCA